UAGGGAAUCUUCGGCAAUGGACGGAAGUCUGACCGAGCAACGCCGCGUGAGUGAAGAAGGUUUUCGGAUCGUAAAGCUCUGUUGUAAGAGAAGAACGAGUGUGAGAGUGGAAAGUUCACACUGUGACGGUAACUUACCAGAAAGGGACGGCUAACUACGUGCCAGCAGCCGCGGUAAUACGUAGGUCCCGAGCGUUAUCCGGAUUUAUUGGGCGUAAAGCGAGCGCAGGCGGUUAGAUAAGUCUGAAGUUAAAGGCUGUGGCUUAACCAUAGUACGCUUUGGAAACUGUUUAACUUGAGUGCAAGAGGGGAGAGUGGAAUUCCAUGUGUAGCGGUGAAAUGCGUAGAUAUAUGGAGGAACACCGGUGGCGAAAGCGGCUCUCUGGCUUGUAACUGACGCUGAGGCUCGAAAGCGUGGGGAGCAAACAGGAUUAGAUACCCUGGUAGUCCACGCCGUAAACGAUGAGUGCUAGGUGUUAGACCCUUUCCGGGGUUUAGUGCCGCAGCUAACGCAUUAAGCACUCCGCCUGGGGAGUACGACCGCAAGGUUG
rnacentral:rRNA from 1 species